CGGGGCCGCAUUCCGUAAACUAUUCAUUCAAUUAAAUAAUUCUUGGACCUCGUGCACGAUUUUUUUAUGGAGAAGAUGAAACGAAGCAUGUGGGCACAACAAAGUGAUUUUCCACUACCACUGUAAACUACACAACAAAGGAAAGGGAUCGUUUCCAGAACUUCCACCUGCAUUCUGUGAUCCAGAUGGUGUUUGUCUUACUGGACUGACAUGCUUCCUCUUUAAACUAUUUGGUGGUGUAUGUGUUGGUGUUGUGUUUUGAUGUUGUAUCAAUGGUCUGACUUCUGGUGACAUGAUGGAUGAGUCUGUAAGCACAUAAAAAAGAAUUUGCAAGUAAUUUUCAAAUGGAAAGCACGACAUGGCAUCUAAGGGCAAGUUGAAUUUCUCGACGUCAGAUGAUAGAUGAAUUAAAUUAUGCACGUUGUAUGAGCAGAAAUAAUUUCCAUAAAAUUCUUGUGAAUUUGUCACAAAAUAUUCCAGAAGUUGAUGAGCAUAAUUCAAAAAACCAGCGUCAGUACGGGGAUUUUUAUCAAUGUCAUUAAAGAUUAUCCGACCUUCGAUAUACUCUCCAGCAACAGUACAACGUUCACAACCGUCGUAUCCUGUAUGGCCUUUUAUGCCUUUUAAAAAUUGCCUUGCUGGGGCGUCGCAAGUGAAAAAGUGCAAAGCCACUCGUACAUCAAUAUCAUUUACGAUCAUGGUAUCACUUCGAAGUUUAUGCAGCUCUUCCAGAAAUUCAUGGCAAAAGUAUUCAACAGGUGUUGGUUUGCUAUUGCCACAAAAAAGUGCUAUCACAAAUGGUGUUGCAUAUUCAAAUUGACCUAGAAUUGGCCAAAAUUGGGUGCUUGAUGACUUAUAUAAAGAUUCUGCUACGAAUGCUACCGAAGCAAAGUUUACGAAUUAGCAUAUGCUGUACAGAAAUACUUUACUCACGUCUGUGGUUCUUCGCCCUUUUCGCCUUGUGAGUUGAUACGAACUUCUUAGGGGCUUAGGCGCGAAUUUCCUCAUCGAAAGUUUCCCGCCAAUGACUAGGAGGGAUAUUACAUGCGACAAAGUAAAGGUUUAAAUAUGUGAAAGCGAAGUAAAUAAACAGUUAUUAUUGUAUUAUAAAUUAUAAUUUGACAAAAUGGAUUGUAUUUUAAAUGUCUCACAUCCAUAAUACAAGUUGAAAUAUU